rnacentral:rRNA from 1 species
CAACUCUAUGCGGUGGAUCACUCGGCUCGUGCGUCGA